rnacentral:rRNA from 1 species
GUCCACGCCGUAAACGAUGAGUACUAGGUGUAGGGGGUCCAACCCUCUGUGCCGCAGUUAACACAAUAAGUACUCCGCCUGGGAAGUACGAUCGCAAGAUUAAAAACUCAAAGGAAUUGACGGGGCCCGCACAAGCAGCGGAGCAUGUGGUUUAAUUCGAAGCAACGCGAAGAACCUUACCUGGACUUGACAUCCCCUGAAUUACUCGUAAUGGAGGAAGCCCUUCGGGGCAGGGAGACAGGUGGUGCAUGGUUGUCGU